rnacentral:lncRNA from 1 species
AUUAAAAAAGUGUGUGUAGAUGGCAGUUGGAGGGGGUGUAAAUGAACGUGCCUUUCUCUCCUCCCUCCCAGCCUCACUCCGUGAGCUGACUGUGUGAUCUCACGACGGGAGAGACCUUUCUGGUGUGGCAUCCAGGACCUCGGCCAUGCUGCAGAGGCUUUGGCCACUGACGCACACAACAUCUGGUUUUCAGAUACAAGUCAUGCAGCCAAGACUCAGGCUCAUCAGAGGCACAGCACCCUUGAGCCUCAGCCCGACACCCAC